CCUUGCAGGGCGGCGGCGCAUUCCUUGGAGCUGCCCUGGACUGCAGUACCAGCUCCAGCACGUUGAUUUAUGGAGCUAUUUGGUGUCAGGUAAUUGCCCAUCAGUAUCCUAUUUAUCACCCAGCUUGUCACGGCUUGUGGCUGCUACGCCGCAAAGCCAAGGCCUUGGAGAAAGGACCAGUGACUCAAAGCACAGGAGGAGGACGGUCCAAAAAUGCACCGUGUCCAAGUUCUCUUCCCUUUGCUCAGCUUUCCUUCGAUCAAGGGGAGAAAGUGGGUCGGAUCCCAGACAGUAGCUGCUGAUGGGGGUGCGACUUCCAGACCCAGGAAGACCCCGCCUGUCCCCAGCCCUUCUCCUGAAAUAUCCUUCCCAAGUAAAUGCCUGCUCAGGAUAGGAACAAAAUCUGCAUAUUCAGUAGGCCGUUACUUUAAAAAAAAAUGUUCCCAUGAAUAGACUGGAGAGAAAUAAGUCAAAACACAAAUACCCUCUGGUUGAUGGAAAAAUUCUUCCUUCUUUGCUGUAUUUUCCAUAUUGUCUGUAAUGAGCAUGUAUCUCUUAAAAACACAGCAAGAUGUUUUAUACAUGUUUAGCAAUACUUGAAAUUCCACAAUUAAAGAGGCAGUCGUUUGGCUUCCUGUUUUUUAUGCUUUCAACAUGCCAUUCCUCUUAGAAGGUGUAGUCAUGCGGGGGAGGAGCUCAUCCUUCUAGAAUUAAAGCUUGAGGGCUGGUGGCCCCCCGGGGGCAGCUCAGCUGUGCCCAGGGAGGUGUUGGCGGCAGGUGGCUGGAAGACACCUUGUGUGAUGCCUAAGUCGGAGCUUUUGGGGUGCCCGUCACCAGAAUAGUGUUCAUUGUACCCAAUAGUUUAAUUUGCAGGCCCCCAAUCACAGAAUCGAAGAGGAUAGAGGAAGAAUUUCAGACAGAGAGUACUUGCCAAGAACCACUCCAGC